rfam:Salmo salar isolate Sally breed double haploid chromosome ssa28, whole genome shotgun sequence.
GUCAGGAUGGAAUGUAAGUCGCUCUGGAUAAGAGUGUCUGCUAAAUGACUUAAA